rnacentral:lncRNA from 1 species
GCAGGAGGUUCUCACAGAGGGUUCCCAAAGGUAAUUUUGAUCAACUUGAAGCAUCAACCUGGAGUUCAAACAAGCCCUUUAUAACAAAGUUCCUGCUAGUUCCAAAGUUGGGCAGAUGAUGAGGUAAGGAGUGGGACUAAUCUAUGGAUCAGCAUGUCUAUUUUAAGCCUCUAACAACCCUCUCUGAUUUACAGGAUGCCUUCAGAGCCAUGCACCCAAAGCUUGACAUUGUGCAGUUAUUCCUUAAGCCCCUGCUCAUUGGAGAGCUUAUCCCAGAAGAGGCCAUCCAGGAGAGAAACAAAAAUGUAAGCAGGCAUCCUAAGGCCGGGAAGUGGCUUCAAAUGAAGGCUUAGAAUUUUUCUUCUGUCUUUGGAUUUGUGUCAGCUGCUGCCUGAUACUUCUUGGCAACCUCUUCAUCAGUGUCUCACACCAGCAAGUUACCAAACCUCGCUGGGUCCCAGUUCUCUUGUCUGUAAAAUGGGGAUAACAAAUCUUGUAUGGAAAUAUUAUGAGGAGGGCUAAACAAUUUAAUGUGGAAAACAUCUAGUAUAUGCUAAAUAUUUAAUUCAUGACAGUUGUUACUCUUUACCUAAUUUUAUCCAUACAACUUCAGUAUCUAAAUUUCCAUUCUUAGCCAGGUAACACUCAUCUUUCUCUUUCAUUCAUUUACCAACCAAGAUUUACCAAUGCAGCCAACCGUGAAUUCUUCAAUAGUAGAGAUUAUAUCUUAUUAUAUGAGGAUUAAGAAUGUGUGGAUUUUGUCAUAAAGGAAAACCAGGAACUGGCACAUAGAAGGGCAUUUGAUAAAUCUUUGUUGAAUCAAGAAUGAAUAUCUGAGCAUGGCCUUCAAUGAGCACAACAUUGUGUUGUGGACAUAAAGGCCUCUGGU